UAGCCUGUAGUCAAGUGGCUAAGGUACAUGGUUGUGACCCCUGAGGUUAUUGGUUCAAGCCCCAGUCUAA